rnacentral:tRNA from 1 species
AUUUAUAUAGUUUAUGCAAAACAUUACAUUUUCAUUGUAAAAUUAAAAUUUUUAUAUUUUUAUAAAUA